AUUGAACGCUGGCGGCAGGCCUAACACAUGCAAGUCGAGCGGAUGAAGGGAGCUUGCUCCUGGAUUCAGCGGCGGACGGGUGAGUAAUGCCUAGGAAUCUGCCUGGUAGUGGGGGAUAACGUCCGGAAACGGGCGCUAAUACCGCAUACGUCCUGAGGGAGAAAGUGGGGGAUCUUCGGACCUCACGCUAUCAGAUGAGCCUAGGUCGGAUUAGCUAGUUGGUGGGGUAAAGGCCUACCAAGGCGACGAUCCGUAACUGGUCUGAGAGGAUGACCAGUCACACUGGAACUGAGACACGGUCCAGACUCCUACGGGAGGCAGCAGUGGGGAAUAUUGGACAAUGGGCGAAAGCCUGAUCCAGCCAUGCCGCGUGUGUGAAGAAGGUCUUCGGAUUGUAAAGCACUUUAAGUUGGGAGGAAGGGCAGUAAGUUAAUACCUUGCUAUUUUGACGUUACCAACAGAAUAAGCACCGGCUAACUUCGUG
rnacentral:rRNA from 1 species